rnacentral:rRNA from 1 species
GGAGGGGGCAAGCGUUGUUCGGAAUCAUUGGGCGUAAAGGGCGCGUAGGCGGCCCGUCAAGUCGGGUGUGAAAUCCCUCGGCUCAACCGAGGAACCGCACUCGAUACUGUCGGGCUGGAGUCCGGGAGGGGAUGGUGGAAUUCCCAGUGUAGCGGUGAAAUGCGUAGAUAUUGGGAAGAACACCGGUGGCGAAGGCGGCCAUCUGGACCGGUACUGACGCUGAGGCGCGAAAGCUAGGGGAGCGAAUGGGAUUAGAUACCCCGGUAGUCCUAGCUGUAAACGAUGGGCACUUGAUGUGGCAGGUUCUGACCCCUGCCGUGUCGAAGCUAACGCGUUAAGUGCCCCGCCUGGGGAGUACGGUCGCAAGGCUG